rnacentral:rRNA from 1 species
GGUGUUGCAAACCACCCUAGAGGAGCCUGUCCAAUAAUCGAUAAUCCACGUUUCACCUUACCCGCUUUUGCCCACCCAGUCUAUAUACCGCCGUCGUAAGCCAACCUUUUGAAAGUACAAUCGUAGGCAGUGCAGCCAACCACUAACACGUCAGGUCAAGGUGUAACUAAUAAGAGGGACUUUUGAUGGGCUACACUCUCCAGCCUGGAGACAAUACCCCCAAUGAAAACGGACAAAACGCCGGAUUUAGUAGUAAACCUGACGAGUAAGUCAGAUUGAAACAAGCGCUGCAACAUGUACACACCGCCCGUCACCCCCCUCACAAACACACCAAAUUUAAAUAAAACCACAAACUAAUAAAGAUGGGGCAAGUCGUAACAAGGUAAGUGUACUGGAAAGUGCACUUGG